UACGGAGGAUCCAAGCGUUAUCCGGAUUUAUUGGGUUUAAAGGGUGCGUAGGCGGACCUUUAAGUCAGUGGUGAAAGUUUGCGGCUCAACCGUAAAAUUGCCAUUGAAACUGAAGGUCUUGAGUGUAAAUGAGGUAGGCGGAAUGUGUUGUGUAGCGGUGAAAUGCUUAGAUAUAACACAGAACACCAAUUGCGAAGGCAGCUUACUGGGAUACAACUGACGCUGAGGCACGAAAGCGUGGGGAUCAAACAGG
rnacentral:rRNA from 1 species